rnacentral:lncRNA from 1 species
AGCGAAAAGGUGACCCUGGGGAUGGCGGAAGGGAGACCCUGAGAUGCAGUUCUGCUCGGUUCUGGCUGGGCUCUUCCAGACUUCAAUUAGACGAAUCUGAGCAGCGUCUGAAAGGGGAAGGCUUGCUGAAGUAAGGUCUACGCUUGGAGAAUGAUAAGAGCAGACGGAGGGUAGAACUCCAGUCUCGAGUCCUGAGCAAAGAAGUCUGGAAGUGGUAAUUGGAGAAGGAGAGAAGAAACGAAGUUAUGGGGAAGAGGAUGGAAAUACUACCUUCCUGGUGGCCUCAGGUUGUCUGCUGUCACAGAUGAGGCUCUAACAGAGAUGCUGCUGUCUUUUACGGAGCUGUCAAUGCCUGCAUGCCUGUGCAUGUCUGUGUGCACAUGCCUAUGGGUGUGCAUCUGUGUUUGGCCUUGGUGUAUUUGUGUAUUCCUGAGAGCUGAGUACAGUGGAAAGAUCGCUGGACCCCAGAUUCAGAAGCCCGGCUUUAAGACUGCAUUUCGUAGGGAAGGAGUUUAUUUGCACUGCUAUUUUUCUUUGUUUUGGUCUAAACUAAUCCAAGCUACAACUGUGAAGUCUGGAUUCAGUCAAAGGGCCUCACCUGGGGACCUAGAGGCCCACAUGUGGCCUCAGUGCUGCCAGUUCCCCACCGCUGGUCUAAACCUCUCAUUCUAUCUGUACGACAUUGAGGAAUUCUUGGUGUGGAAAAGUCUUAACUUUCUGCCUUAAUGAGCUGCCCUGGAAGUUAAAUGAUUUGUCCAGGGUCAUGUAACUCGCUGGUUAGUGUCACAGCUAGAACCUGAAUCCAGAUCUUUGGUCUCCAAUACCAGUUCUCUUUGCACUACAAUGGGAAACCUCGAUAACUGACCAGCUCCUGGCUUCCUUUCCUACAGGGCUAUGACCUCAUCCUGUUGGUGAGUUUGCUUUUUCUGUCAAUAGUCAAUCCACAAAUAUUGACUUAGUGCUAACUAUGAACAAGGCUGUGCUAAUCACUGGAAGAUACAAAGAAAGGAAAAAAAACCUCAUUAUUCUAAUGAGGGAGACAAUAUACAAAAAAGGAUGUACAUCUAAGAUAUAUGCAAAUAGAACUUUCUUUUUAAAGAUACAUUUAGUCUUUGCACAAAGAAAACCAAUAUGGCCAAAAUUAGAAGGAAAGCAGAAAACUGGGAAAUAAGUUUUUACAGCAAUUUUCUCUGAAAAAGGCCUCAUUUCUCAAAUAUAUAGAGAACUGAGUUAAAUUUAUAAGACUACAAAUCAUUCCACAACUGGUAAAUGGCCAAAGGAUAUGAAUGGGCAGUUUUUAGAGGAAGACAUCAAAGCUAUCUAUAAUCAUAUGAAAUAAAUGCUCUAAAUCACUAUUGAUUAAAGAAAUG